UGAACGCUGGCGGUAGGCCUAACACAUGCAAGUCGAACGGCAGCACAGUAAGAGCUUGCUCUUACGGGUGGCGAGUGGCGGACGGGUGAGGAAUACAUCGGAAUCUACUUUUUCGUGGGGGAUAACGUAGGGAAACUUACGCUAAUACCGCAUACGACCUACGGGUGAAAGCAGGGGAUCUUCGGACCUUGCGCGAUUGAAUGAGCCGAUGUCGGAUUAGCUGGUUGGCGGGGUAAAGGCCCACCAAGGCGACGAUCCGUAGCUGGUCUGAGAGGAUGAUCAGCCACACUGGAACUGAGACACGGUCCAGACUCCUACGGGAGGCAGCAGUGGGGAAUAUUGGACAAUGGGCGCAAGCCUGAUCCAGCCAUACCGCGUGGGUGAAGAAGGCCUUCGGGUUGUAAAGCCCUUUUGUUGGGAAAGAAAAGCAGCAGGUUAAUACCCCGCUGUUCUGACGGUACCCAAAGAAUAAGCACCGGCUAACUUCGUG
rnacentral:rRNA from 1 species